rnacentral:rRNA from 1 species
UCGUAGUUGAUUUCUGGGCCGGGCUGUCCUUGUCCACUUCGGUGCGACGUGGCGACCGGACCAUCCUCGCGAGGAUUGCGGGGCCUUCACUGGUUCUCGUAUACUCGCGUCCUUUACUGUGAGAAAAUUAGAGUGUUUAAAGCAGGCUUUUAGCUUGAAUACAUUAGCAUGGAAUAAUGAGAUAGGACUUCGGUGCUAUUUUGUUGGUUGCGCACCUGAGUAAUGAUUAAUAGGGACAGUUGGGGGUAUUCAUAUUUAACUGUCAGAGGUGAAAUUCUUGGAUUUGUUAAAGAUGAACCAACUGCGAAAGCAUUUACCAAAGGAUGUUUUUCAUUAAUCAAGAACGAAAGUCAGGGGAUCGAAGAGGAUUAGAUACCCUCGUAGUCUUGACUAUAAAACGAUGCCGACUCAGGAUUGGCAGACGUUUUUACGACUCUGUCAGCACUGUAUGAUAAAUCAAAGUCUUUGGGGUUCCGGGGGGAGUAUGGUCGCAAGGCUGAAACUUAAAAGGAAUUGACGGAAGGGCACCACCAGGAAGUGGAGCCUGCGGCUUAAUUUGACUCAACACGGGGAAACUCACCAGGUCCAGACAUGGUAAGGAUUGACAGAUUGAGAGCUCUUUCUUGAUUCUAUGGGUGGUGGUGCAUGGCCGUUCUUAGUUGGUGGAGUGAUUUUGUCUGGUUAAUUCCGAAUAACGAACGAGACCUCCGCCUGCUAAAUAGCGCGGCCUGGUAAGCCAGGUACGCGCUUCUUAGAGGGACAAUGGGUGUUUAGCCCAUGGAAGUUGGAGGCAAUAACAGGUCUGUGAUGCCCUUAGAAUUGUUCUGGGCCGCACGCGCGCUACACUGACUGGUUCAACGAGUUUAACCUGGUUUCGACAGAACUGGGUAAUCUUGGAACGCCAGUCGUGCUGGGGAUAGAUUAUUGCAAUUAUUGAUCUUCAACGAGGAAUUCCUAGUAAAUGCAAGUCAUCAGCUUGCGUUGAUUACGUCCCUGCCCUUUGUACACACCGCCCGUCGCACCUACCGAUUGAAUGGUUCGGUGAAAUCUUCGGAUCGACUGCUUUCCCUCGCAAGGGGGUGGUAGCUGAGAAGUUGAUUAAACCUCAUCAUUAGAGGAAGGGGA